GAUGAAGAACGCAGCGAAAUGCGAUACUUGGUGUGAAUUGCAGAAUCCCGUGAACCAUCGAAUCUUUGAACGCAAGUUGCGCCCGAAGCCACUAGGCCGAGGGCACGCCUGCCUGGGCGUCACACGUCGUUGCCCCCCACCAUCUACUCCUUCGGGAUUGCGGGGGGCGGAUGAUGGCCUCCCGUGCGCCUAGCCGCGCGGUUGGCAUAAAUACCAAGUCCUCGGCGACGCACGCCACGACAAUCGGUGGUUGCGAAACCUCGGUUGCCCGUCGUGUGCGUUCGUCGCGCAUCGAGGGCUCGAAAAAAUGCUCGGCUCCGGCUCGGCUUUCAACGCGACCCCAGGUCAGGCGGGGUUACCCGCUGAAUUUAAGCAUAUCAAUAAGCGGAGGA
rnacentral:misc_RNA from 1 species